rnacentral:rRNA from 1 species
GAUGAACGCUAGCUACAGGCUUAACACAUGCAAGUCGAGGGGAAACGGCAUUAAGUGCUUGCACUUUUUGGACGUCGACCGGCGCACGGGUGAGUAACGCGUAUCCAACCUUCCCAUGACUAAGGGAUAACCUGCCGAAAGGCAGACUAAUACCUUAUGGUCUUCACUGACGGCAUCAGAUGUGAAGUAAAGAUUUAUCGGUUAUGGAUGGGGAUGCGUCUGAUUAGCUUGUUGGCGGGGUAACGGCCCACCAAGGCAACGAUCAGUAGGGGUUCUGAGAGGAAGGUCCCCCACAUUGGAACUGAGACACGGUCCAAACUCCUACGGGAGGCAGCAGUGAGGAAUAUUGGUCAAUGGGCGAGAGCCUGAACCAGCCAAGUAGCGUGCAGGAUGACGGCCCUAUGGGUUGUAAACUGCUUUUGUAUGGGGAUAAAGUCAAUCACGUGUGAUUGUUUGCAGGUACCAGACGAAUAAGGACCGGCUAAUUCCGUG